AGGAGGAGGAGGAGGAAGAAGGAAAAAAAAAUUUGGGGAAAAUCUAAUUGAAGGAUCGCGGAACGAGUCUCCACCUCAAGGUUGAGAAGGAGGCUUUUUGCUUUUGUCUUUUGGAUCUCUAAGGUAACUGAAGUAGAGUUUUGGUCCACAACUAGUCGGACAGGCUGUAGGA